UACAGAGGGUGCAAGCGUUGUUCGGAAUUAUUGGGCGUAAAGCGCGUGUAGGCGGCUUAGCAAGUCGGGCGUGAAAGCCCUCGGCUCAACCGAGGAAGUGCACCCGAAACUGCUGAGCUUGAGUGCCGGAGAGGAUGGCGGAAUACCCCAAGUAGAGGUGAAAUUCGUAGAUAUGGGGUGGAACACCGGUGGCGAAGGCGGCCAUCUGGACGGUAACUGACGCUGAGACGCGAAAGCGUGGGGAGCGAACAGG
rnacentral:rRNA from 1 species